rnacentral:rRNA from 1 species
AUUGAACGCUGGCGGCAGGCCUAACACAUGCAAGUCGAACGAGUGGCGGACGGGUGAGUAAUGUCUGGGAAACUGCCUGAUGGAGGGGGAUAACUACUGGAAACGGUAGCUAAUACCGCAUACCAUCAGUUGUGCCCAGAUGGGAUUAGCUAGUAGGUGGGGUAACGGCUCACCUAGGCGACGAUCCCUAGCUGGUCUGAGAGGAUGACCAGCCCCCCUUGAACUGAGACACGGUCCAUGAUCCUCCCAUACUCAUCAUUUCAUAAUAUUCCACAAUGCUCGCAAGCCUGGUCCAGCCAUGCCGCGUGUAUGAAGAAAACCUUCGGGUUUUAAUGUCCUUUCAGCGGGGAGGCGUUACCCGCAGAAGAAGCACCGGCUAACGCCGUGCCAGCCGCCGCGGUAAUAC